rnacentral:lncRNA from 1 species
ACCUGGGAGGCAGAGGUUGCAGUGAGCCGAGAUCACGCCACUGCACUCCAGCCUGGGCAACAGAGCAAGACUCUGUCUCAAACAAACAAACAAAACAAAACAAAACAAAAAAAGCCAGAUAAAAGUACUUUGGUACAAAAGUAAUUGCAGUUUUGGCCAUUAAAAGUAAGCUUUGGUGCAAAAGUAAUUGCGGUUUUGGCCAUUAAGAGUAAGCCACUUUUUUUGGCCAUUAAAAGUGGCUUACAUUUAAUGGCCAAAACCGCAAUUACUUUUGCACCAAACUAUAUUAGGUGGCGCCUUUAGGAACCAGAAAGCAGGCCCUUCAACUAAAUCUGCAGGCACCUUGAUCUCGGACUUCCUAGCUUCCACAACUGUGAAAAACAAAUCUGUGUUAUUUACACGCCACUCAGUCCAAAGCAUUUUGUUAUAGUAGCUCAAAUAGACUAAGACAGGCAUUGCGUUAGGAGCUGGGAACACACUAUUGAGUAAAACAGACAUGGGUCCUACUUACUUGGAGCUUACAGUCCAGUAGGAGAGACAGAAAUUAAGCAAGCAACUGGCGGGGCACUGUGGCUCACGCCUGUAAUCCCAGCAAUUCGGGGGGUGAGGCAAGUGGAUCACUUGAGCUCUGGAGUUCGAGGUCAGCCUAAGUAACAUGGUGAAACCCCAUGUCAACAAAAACUACAAAAAAUUAGCCUGGCGUGGUUGCAUGCAUCUGUAGUCCCAGCUACUUGGGAGGCUGAGAUGGGAGGAUCACUUGAGCCCUGGAGGCGAAGGUUGCAGUGAGUUGAGACUGCACCACUGCACUCCAGCCUGGGCAACAGAGCAAGACCGUGUCUCAAAAAAAAGAAAUUAAGCAAGCAACUGAACAAAAAGAUACAAUUAAAAUGGUUUUUACCAAAAAGGGCCAAAAUUAAAAUAAUAAAACAAUUAAGAUGAAGUGUUAUAAAAUGAAUGGAGGAAUGAGUGAAGUGUUAAAAGAAAAAAAAUACAUAACCAAGUUUCUCAUAGUCUAUAAAUACUAAGUACCCACAGGGUCUUUCUAGCUGAGCCACUGCCCACACUGUUGAAGGACCCCGUCUGAAAUUCCUGCCGUGUGUUCCUGGAACUUCUGGUGUGUCCUGUGUGCUUAUCAGGGGUCAUCUCUGCCUUUACCUUCCUCAGAUACUAACCUGUGAUUGCCUGGAUCCUAGCUCUCCUGGGGACAUUGCCCACCUGCUGCUCACUCUCCUGCUAAAGCAGGGAAGUGCCCCACCCAGUCUUGUGUCAUCCUCCCACCAGGCCCUGGGGCAGAGCUCCCUGUGCUGUGAGUUUUGUAGAGACUUGGAGAACGGCUCAGCAUGAACCCUCAGAGCUGGGCCUGAUUUAGAAGGUGCUUCACUCCUCCCCACCUACUCUGGGCUGGGCUUACACACCUCAGCAGUUUGUUCUUAGAUUAGUGGUUAGUUCUUAACCUUUUUUUGUGACCCGUUUGAGAAUCUGAAAAAACAAAAACAAAAACACCUCAUCCUUGAAAAAUAUGAAUAUAUGUGCACACCACACAUAGUUCCUCAUACAAUUUAAAAAAAAUUAUGAACCAGCCCCUACCCACUGAAAUUCAACUAUGGAUUCCAUGGAGCCCAGACUACAAACCCCCGUUCAAGGGUUUGAGUCCUUUGCUUCGAGUCCCCUGCCUGAGCAGUUGGGGCAGCGUGGUCCAUAGAUCGCUGGUAUCACAGCCACUCUGCCUAUCAAGAACAUAGACAUACUAAAUCCAGCUCCUGGGCACGUGUCCUUGGACUCGGCAUGGAUUCAUUUCCGGUGGCCGCUGUAACAAAUCAGCACAACUUCAGUGGAUUCCCUCACAGUUCCGGAGGCCAGAAGUUAGAAAUCAGUUUCACUAGGCCCUUGGAGGCGGCAAGAGAUGGUAUAGGGAGAAAGGCAAAUAGCAGAGGGAGGGCAGCACCUGCAGGAGGGGAGGCGAGACGGUCAGCGUUCGGUAGCGAGGGAGUCGGGACUUCAUCCUGCCGUGAACACUUUGGACGGUAUCUUCUAACUAGCUCCCUCUGGGUCAUUAGAACCCUGCCCAGGUUCUCCCUGUACUUUCCACAGGGCUCUGCACGUGGUCGGCCCUCAGGAAAUGAAUCAGUUCCUUAACCAGGCUCCUCAGAGGUCCAGCAGCUGCCCAGGAGCUAAAGAUAAUGUUUUUGGCCAUGGUUCAGAGUUAGCCAAAAAGAAAAACUAACAAGAGGACCGCAGCACUUGUCCUCCUGGACAGUGGGCAGUGAUGUGACUGCUCAAAGGCAUUUCCUGUUGGCAGAGGUGGCAGGACCUCAGGCACCGUCCUUCUGAAGGAAAGGCUGCAGCGGCCUGGGCGGCCCUACGGGAGUGGGCAGCCAAUGGUGACCAUAAAUCCCAGCCGCCUGGCGGAGACAGGCCAGCAGCUCAACAGCUUUCUCUUCUGGGAGGGCACGUUGCUUGAAUCCGGGAGAGGGAGGUUCCAGUGAGCCGAGAUCAUGCCACUGCACUCCAGCCGGGGCGACAGAGUGAGACUCCGUCUCAAAAAAAAAAAAAAAAAGAAAACCAGAAAUACCAGAGACAGUAAUUUAUAAAGAAAAGAGGUUUAAUUGGCUCACGGUCCUGUAGAUGGUACAGGAAGCACAGCAGCUUUUGCUU